rnacentral:rRNA from 1 species
AUUGAACGCUGGCGGCAUGCCUUACACAUGCAAGUCGAACGGAUUCAAGAGGCUUGCUUCUUGAGUUAGUGGCGAACGGGUGAGUAAAGCAUCGGAACGUACCCAGUUGUGGGGGAUAACGUAGCGAAAGUUACGCUAAUACCGCAUACGCACUGAGGUGGAAAGCGGGGGACCGAAAGGCCUCGCGCAAUUGGAGCGGCCGAUGUCGGAUUAGCUAGUUGGUGAGGUAAAGGCUCACCAAGGCGACGAUCCGUAGCUGGUCUGAGAGGACGACCAGCCACACUGGAACUGAGACACGGUCCAGACUCCUACGGGAGGCAGCAGUGGGGAAUUUUGGACAAUGGGCGAAAGCCUGAUCCAGCCAUGCCGCGUGAGUGAAGAAGGCCUUCGGGUUGUAAAGCUCUUUCAGACGGAAAGAAAUCUUUCGGGUGAAUAUCCCGGAAGGAUGACGGUACCGUAAGAAGAAGCACCGGCUAACUUCGUGCCAGCCGCCGCAGUAA